rnacentral:lncRNA from 1 species
UUGACUCCUUGUGAAGAACAAAGAGACGACGGGAAGAAUUUUGCAGGAAAAAACUUCGCUGCUGGCCAGAAAAUAUUUCCUAUACCUCCCAUACCAAAGGUGACAUCAAGGUAAAUAUAAGGCGGACGGACUAGACAGUCCAUUUUUUGAUCUGGUUGAUCGUCAGAAUGCCAAGAAAUGGCAGCAAAUUGGUUUCGAAGAAGAAAAUGAAGAGAUGAAGAUAGAGGGUGAAAAAUGCGAAACAUUUAUAGGGGGGUGAAGUUGAAGGGACAGAAUAUGAACAGCCACAUUUCUGUUUAAUGGACGGAAUUAAAUGGCCCUAAGUCUUGGGAACAGUAGUGGGAAUAUCAAAAGGGAGUAGACA